rnacentral:rRNA from 1 species
AGUGAACGCUAGCGGUAGGCCUAACACAUGCAAGUCGAACGGCAGCACAGUAAGAGCUUGCUCUUACGGGUGGCGAGUAGCGGACGGGUGAGGAAUACAUCGGAAUCUACUUUUUCGUGGGGGAUAACGUAGGGAAACUUACGCUAAUACCGCAUACGACCUACGGGUGAAAGCAGGGGAUCUUCGGACCUUGCGCGAUUGAAUGAGCCGAUGUCGGAUUAGCUAGUUGGCGGGGUAAAGGCCCACCAAGGCGACGAUCCGUAGCUGGUCUGAGAGGAUGAUCAGCCACACUGGAACUGAGACACGGUCCAGACUCCUACGGGAGGCAGCAGUGGGGAAUAUUGGACAAUGGGCGCAAGCCUGAUCCAGCCAUACCGCGUGGGUGAAGAAGGCCUUCGGGUUGUAAAGCCCUUUUGUUGGGAAAGAAAAGCAGCAGGUUAAUACCCCGCUGUUCUGACGGUACCCAAAGAAUAAGCACCGGCUAACUUCGUG